rnacentral:rRNA from 1 species
AGUGAACGCUGGCGGUAGGCCUAACACAUGCAAGUCGAACGGCAGCACAGUAAGAGCUUGCUCUUACGGGUGUCUUUUGUCGGUCGGGUGAGGACUACAUCGGAAUCUACUUUUUCGUUGGGGUUAACGUAGGGAUACUUACGCUAAUACCGCAUACGACCUACGUGUGAAAGCAGGGGAUCUUCGUACCUUGCGCGAUUGUAUGAGCCGAUGUCGGAUUAGCUAGUUGGCUGGGUAAAGGCCCACCAAGGCGACGAUCCGUAGCUGGUCUGAGAGGAUGAUCAGACACACUGGAACUGAGACACGGUCAAGACUCCUAGGGGAGGCAGCAGUGGGGAAUAUUGGACAAUGGGCGAAAGCCUGAUCCAGCAAAACCGCGUGGGUGAAGAAGGCCUUCGGGUUGGAAAGCCAUGUUGUUGGGAAAGAAAAGCAGCAGGUUAAUAACCCGAUGUUCUGACGGUACCCAAAGAAUAAGCACCGGCUAAAUUCGUG